rnacentral:misc_RNA from 1 species
UCCGGUUUGUCACCGGCAGUCUCGCAUGAGUCCCCAACUAAAUGCUGGCAACAUGCGACGGGGGUUGCGUUCGUUGCGGGACUUAACCCAACAUCUCACGACACGAGCUGACGACAGCCAUGCACCACCUGUGAAACUGUCCCGAAGGAAGACCGUGUUUCCACGGCUGUCAGUUACAUGUCAAGCCCAGGUAAGGUGGGGAUGACGUUAGAGAGUACGUCC